GCAUAUCAAAAGCGGAGGAAAAGAAACUAACAAGGAUUCCCCUAGUAGCGGCGAGCGAAGCGGGAAGAGCUCAAAUUUAUAAUCUGGCACCUUCGGUGUCCGAGUUGUAAUCUCUAGAAGUGUUUUCCGCGUUGGACCGCACACAAGUCUGUUGGAAUACAGCGGCAUAGUGGUGAAACCCCCGUAUAUGGUGCGGACGCCCAGCGCUUUGUGAUACACUUUCAAUGAGUCGAGUUGUUUGGGAAUGCAGCUCAAAUUGGGUGGUAAAUUCCAUCUAAAGCUAAAUAUUGGCGAGAGACCGAUAGCGAACAAGUACCGUGAGGGAAAGAUGAAAAGCACUUUGGAAAGAGAGUUAACAGUACGUGAAAUUGUUGGAAGGGAAACGCUUGAAGUCAGACUUGCUUGCCGGAGCUUGCUUCGGUUUGCAGGCCAGCAUCAGUUUUCCGGGGUGGAUAAUGACGGUUUGAAGGUAGCAGUCUCGGCUGUGUUAUAGCUUUCCGUUGGAUACAUCCUGGGGGACUGAGGAACGCAGCGUGCUUUUUGCGAAAGACUCGUCUUUUCACGCUUAGGAUG
rnacentral:rRNA from 1 species